rnacentral:rRNA from 1 species
GUGAACGCUGGCGGUAGGCCUCACACCUGCAAGUCGCACGGCAGCACAGUAAGAGCUUGCUCUUACGGGUGGCGAGUGGCGGACGGGUGAGGAAUACAUCGGAAUCUACUUUUUCGUGGGGGAUAACGUAGGGAAACUUACGCUAAUACCGCAUACGACCUACGGGUGAAAGCAGGGGAUCUUCGGACCUUGCGCGAUUGAAUGAGCCGAUGUCGGAUUAGCUAGUUGGCGGGGUAAAGGCCCACCAAGGCGACGAUCCGUAGCUGGUCUGAGAGGAUGAUCAGCCACACUGGAACUGAGACACGGUCCAGACUCCUACGGGAGGCAGCAGUGGGGAAUAUUGGACAAUGGGCGCAAGCCUGAUCCAGCCAUACCGCGUGGGUGAAGAAGGCCUUCGGGUUGUAAAGCCCUUUUGUUGGGAAAGAAAGGCAGCAGGUUAAUACCCCGCUGUUCUGACGGUACCCAAAGAAUAAGCACCGGCUAACUUCGUG